CUAAGUUUUACUAGACCUGAGAACCUGGAUCUAGAAGACAAAAGAAAUAGAGAAUUGCUUUUGGUUCAGAAAUUGUAUUGGGUUAGAAUGUCUCAUUUCAAUAAGUCUAAGUCUGUAUUAGUUUUUGAAUUUGACAAUAAUAUAAUUUAUGAGAAAUACUAUAAUCUUCUGAAAUAGAAAAAGAGAGGGCAUGUACUGUGUAGACUAAAACAAAGAGUUUCUGUUGAUCCAUAGGCUGUAGAUUUAUUUUGGAAUCUUCCCUCUGAAUGGUUAACGGGGUGAAGGUGGGAGGAAGGGUGUGUCCCCCACAGGGCAACGGGAAAAUAGUUCUUGGAAGACAAGCUGAUCUGUGUUCAAAACCUCGCUCUGCUGUGUAAUAGACCUAUAUCCUUGGGAAGAUGACCUAACUUCUCACACAUCUUAAUUCAGAAUAGCCAUACUUCAGGUGCUCAAUAACCACUUGUGACUAGUGGCUACUCUACUGGACCAUGCAGACCUAGGUGCUUUUUAUCAAGGAAAAAGGGAAGAGGGCAGAACUCUAAAAAACUGAAGAUUUGCCCUGAAAGAGCUUCUUUUAAACUGUUAGGAAAUUGUUUAUACUGGCAGAAACUGAGAUAGAGUUAACUAAAGAGGGUAUCCAUCAGGGUUCUGACGUUCAAGUGAUAGAACCACCCUGGUUAAUUUAACCAGAAAAUCAGAUUUAUGAAGGCUAUUAGAUGGUUAAGAAUCUCUGUGACUGCUGGAAAACUAGACUUGGAGGCUGCAUCUUCAGAGACAAAGUGCAAAUCAUUCUGCAGAACUGGUACAUCAAGACAGCACUGCUGAGAAUGAGUAUCUUCACUGGAACUGCUUCCAUGAUCAAUGCUGACAACAGAGAUAAUGCUGGAACCCUUUCCACUGGUGCUGCCUUUGGGAAAUGGACGCAACUGCUGCCUUCACUGCCAAAAUUGACAGGAUGGAUUCUACACACUCCCUGCUUCUUUGCAUCCCAGCUUCUAAGCCAAGGUCUAGUGUGUGUGUAUCUUUUUGGGCAGAACCUAGGUCAUGUGACCUAGCUUCAAGGAAAGCUGGGAGAAAAGGUUCAGUCCCUAGAGUGAGCAGUGGUCCCUGCGUCUCAUCAAGGUUCAUUCAGGGAUCUCUCCACAUGUAGAGAGGGAUGGGGAGGGAGGAUUAUAAUAGUCUAAAGAAAGACGAUGUCCACCUAACAAGCUUGGGUUUUCCAGCUAUCCAGUGGGACAGGAUGGGGGCUCCUGAAGAAGAUUUAAAAUUUUUAAAAAUUGCUGUAAAAAUAUUAAGUAUAUAUAAAAUCUUUUCUUCCUAAUAUGAAUGU
rnacentral:lncRNA from 1 species